AUCUUGAGCAAGCCCCAAAGUUAAGGUGUGUCUUAUACAUGGGAACGUCUUAUACAAGGGGAAAUACGCAUCUAUUCCCUUUUCCAGGAAGAAUGCUUCAGGAUUCCUUUGUGGGACCUUUUUUCACCCUAUUGCUGAGGUCUCCAUGCCCUGCCCUCCCCUUGAGCAAGGGGUGGCCCAAGCUGGACCAACGAGAUGGUCUCUUCCUAGCAUUUGAAUAAGGAAAUCAGAGUUAUCUUGAGGGACGUCCCUGAGGAGAAUGUGACGAGAUACCGCUACAAGGAGCUCCCCGUGUCCCUUCCAACACCCGACUCUUCAGCUUUCCCCUCAAUGCUACGAGCCAUGAGCCUUAUUCUUCCGAGAAAUUCCUGUUUUAUUUAAGUCAGAUAAAUUGGUCUCAGUUGCUUGCAAUAUAAUCUGUGACACAGCAAUUAAAAACCUUGCUUUCUGUAAUUAGAAGUAAAGUUUUUAAAACAAGUUCUUUCCGGGAGCAGGUACACAUUGACCUAAGUUUUCACUAACGUGUAAAUGUCUGAUGGCAGAGCCUGGCACACUUCAUCAGGCAGAGGAGAGUGAAAGGGCUUCGGGCCUUGACAUCAGUUCUGGCAUCUGAGGUAGGAAGUAGAAGGAUGUAUGGGACAUGACACAUAAAUUCCACUUCAUAAAUUUGCCCUGAAUUUGCAUAUGAGAGAAAUACCUUGCUGGAAACUCUUACAAUGUUGCUUUCGCAGUUUCUACUCAGCUCUCCCAGUUCCCGAAUUUCUAUCUUCAGACUCAACUUUCAGGGUAAGCCUUUCUGAAGCAGGGCAUAAUUACUAGGACACAUAAACCUAAGACAUCAAUUCUGAACAUGAGAACUCAUAAUAUUAAAUUUAGUUCUCAUUUCCUCCUGGGGCCCGCAGGGAAAAAUAAGAACAUCCUGUCCUUUUAAUCAUUUGGGUUAAAUCCUAGUCAUUUGUUGACCUCUCCCUUCCCCCCAUUUACAAAAAGACCUAUAAUUCUUUAAGAUUCUAAGAAAUUAAUAACUAAAUUUAUGUCUUAUAAGCAAUAUUCUUUGAACAAGACAAGUUUCUCAUAACCUCAUUCCUAGUGAUUACUAAAAUUAAGUCACAGCAGAUAAGAUGCUCGACAAAAUAUGCUGAGUGUGAACCACACCCAGGGAGAGAUAAGGAGCAUGCCAUAGUGUGACAGGAGGAAUAAAAGUAAACUCUAAUCAGUUGCAGAUUAUAUGCAGUGUAAAUGACGAUCAAAUGU